rnacentral:rRNA from 1 species
AGUGAACGCUGGCGGCGUGCUUAACACAUGCAAGUCGAACGAGAACGGGUUAUAGCUUGCUAUAAUUGUAAGCUAAGUGGCGCACGGGUGAGUAAUGUAUAGGUAAUAUGCCUCUUACUAAGGGAUAACAAAUGGAAACGUUUGCUAAUACCUUAUACUCCUUAUUAACAGAAGUUAAUAAGGGAAAGAUUUAUUGGUAAGAGAUUAGACUGUAUUGUAUCAGUUAGUUGGUGGGGUAAUGGCUUACCAAGAAUAUAACACAUAACUGGUUUGCGUGGAUGAUCAGUCACACGGUAACUGAGACACGGUCCAGACUCCUACGGGAGGCAGCAGUGGGGAAUAUUGCACAAUGGACGAAAGUGUGAUGCAGCAACGCCGCGUGGAGGAUGACACAUUUCGGUGCGUAAACUCCUUUUAUAUGAGAAGAUAAUGACGGUAUUAUAUGAAUAAGCACCGGCUAACUCCGUGCCAGCAGCCGCCGUAA